AGAGUUUGAUCCUGGCUCAGGAUGAACGCUAGCUACAGGCUUAACACAUGCAAGUCGAGGGGAAACGACACCGAAAGCUUGCUUUUGAUGGGCGUCGACCGGCGCACGGGUGAGUAACGCGUAUCCAACCUGCCCACCACUUGGGGAUAACCUUGCGAAAGUAAGACUAAUACCCAAUGACGUCUCUAGAAGACAUCUGAAGGAGAUUAAAGAUUUAUCGGUGAUGGAUGGGGAUGCGUCUGAUUAGCUUGUUGGCGGGUAACGCCACAAGGCGACGAUCAGUAGGGUUCUGAGAGGAAGGUCCCCCANAUUGGAACUGAGACACGGUCCAAACUCCUACGGGAGCA
rnacentral:rRNA from 1 species